AGCGAACGUUUGCGGCGGGCCUAACACAUGCAAGUCGAACGGGCUCGAGGGGCAACCCUCGAGUCAGUGGCGCACGGGUGCGUAACACGUGGGUAAUCAACCCUUCAGCUCGGGACAACACCUCGAAAGGGGUGCUAAUACCGGAUACGACGUAUGGCUUUGCGGAGUCGUACGGGAAAGAUUCGCAAGGAUCACUGGAGGACGAGCUCGCGGCCCAUCAGCUUGUUGGUGAGGUAAGGCUCACCAAGGCUUAGACGGGUAACUGGUCUGAGAGGAUGAUCAGUCACACUGGAACUGAGACACGGUCCAGACUCCUACGGGAGGCAGCAGUGGGGAAUCUUGCGCAAUGGGCGGAAGCCUGACGCAGCCACGCCGCGUGAGCGAUGAAGGUCUUCGGAUCGUAAAGCUCUGUGGGGGAGAAGAACAAAGCCCGUGAAGAGCGGGCC
rnacentral:rRNA from 1 species